rnacentral:rRNA from 1 species
AAGAUUAAGCCAUGCAUGUCUAAGUACAUACCUUUGCACGGUGAAACCGCGAAUGGCUCAUUAAAUCAGUUAUAGUUUAUUUGAUGGUAUCUUGCUACAUGGAUAACUGUGGUAAUUCUAGAGCUAAUACAUGCUUAAAAGCCCCGACUUCUGGAAGGGGUGUAUUUAUUAGAUUCAAAACCAUCGGGUUUCGGCCCUCCUUGGUGAUUCAUAAUAACUUCUCGAACCGCAU